AUGGUGACGUCCCUGGACGUGACGCCGGUGAGCGGGUCCGCGGCCGCGGAGACGCGGUCGGUGCCCAUGAGCCGCUUCACCACGCCGCUCUUGUACUCGAUGAGGAAGGGCGAGAAGUCGAACUUGACCUGCGAGCUGGCCUCGCCGCCGCGCGCCUUCCUCGCCGCCGCGACGCCGCAAUGCGAGCAGACGAGGAGGAGGAGCGCCGGGAGCAAGAUCCGGGACGCCAUGGGCGGCAGUGAGUGCUGCGGAGGAGUGGGGAGUGGCAGGCAGCGUGUGGAGUGUGACUGUGAGCGAGUGAGGCGUGAGUGUGUCCUCGGGGCCGCUGCUGUGCUGCUUGAGGUUGGCGCGGGAUGGGUCCGGUUAUAUGCGGCGUGGCAGCCGACAGGGCUGGGCGCACCGCACUAUUUUCGUGGCGCGGAUCGUGGUGGGCUUUAG
rnacentral:rRNA from 1 species